rnacentral:rRNA from 1 species
UACGUAGGGUGCAAGCGUUAAUCGGAAUUACUGGGCGUAAAGGGCGCGUAGGCGGUCGUGACAAGUCACUUGUGAAAUCUCCGGGCUUAACUCGGAACGGUCAAGUGAUACUGUCGGACUAGAGUACAGAAGGGGCAACUGGAAUUCUCGGUGUAGCGGUGAAAUGCGUAGAUAUCGAGAGGAACACCUGCGGCGAAGGCGGGUUGCUGGGCUGAUACUGACGCUGAGGCGCGAAAGCUAGGGUAGCAAACGGG